GUACUAAUGCAAAACGAUGGUUUCAAGUGUAUUGCUAAGGAGGCUGAGCUGAUGUUUGAGUUCCUGAGGCUUGAAGCACCCAUUGAUGAUGAAUUAAUCACCCAGUGCACAACAAUACGCUUGUGUGCCUUGAGCCUUAUGAACUGCACUCGGGACAAUUCUGUUUCUGCAUCCGCUGUUAUGUUGGGUAUGGUGAAGGAGGCUGAAAUGAUGUGUUCGUGGAUGC